rnacentral:rRNA from 1 species
GGGUUGUGAGGUUAAGCGACUAAGCGUACACGGUGGAUGCCCUGGCAGUCAGAGGCGAUGAAGGACGUGCUAAUCUGCGAAAAGCGUCGGUAAGGUGAUAUGAACCGUUACAGCCGGCGAUGUCCGAAUGGGGAAACCCAGUGCAAUUCGUUGCACUAUCGUUAACUGAAUACAUAGGUUAACGAGGCGAACCGGGGGAACUGAAACAUCUAAGUACCCCGAGGAAAAGAAAUCAACCGAGAUUCCCCCAGUAGCGGCGAGCGAACGGGGAGCAGCCCGGAGUCUGAAUCAGCUUGUGUGUUAGUGGAAGCGUCUGGAAAGUCGCAGGGUACAGGGUGAUACUCCCGUACACUAAAACACACAGGUUGUGAACUCGAAGAGUAGGGCGGGACACGUGGUAUCCUGUCUGAAUAUGGGGGGACCAUCCUCCAAGGCUAAAUACUCCUGACUGACCGAUAGUGAACCAGUACCGUGAGGGAAAGGCGAAAAGAACCCCGGCGAGGGGAGUGAAAAAGAACCUGAAACCGUGUACGUACAAGCAGUAGGAGCCCCACCACCAAAGCGUUUCGCUUUGCGUGGUGCGCAAAAUGCGUAACGACAGCAUGAUGGACGGUUAACGGAGCGUCAGCGACGUUCAACCUCAAAAAUCAGGCAGUGGAGCGUUUUGGGGUGGGGUGACUGCGUACCUUUUGUAUAAUGGGUCAGCGACUUAUAUUCUGUAGCAAGGUUAACCGAAUAGGGGAGCCGCAGGGAAACCGAGUCUUAACUGGGCGUUAAGUUGCAGGGUAUAGACCCGAAACCCGGUGAUCUAGCCAUGGGCAGGUUGAAGGUUGGGUAACACUAACUGGAGGACCGAACCGACUAAUGUUGAAAAAUUAGCGGAUGACUUGUGGCUGGGGGUGAAAGGCCAAUCAAACCGGGAGAUAGCUGGUUCUCCCCGAAAGCUAUUUAGGUAGCGCCUCGUGAACUCAUCUUCGGGGGUAGAGCACUGUUUCGGCUAGGGGGUCAUCCCGACUUACCAACCCGAUGCAAACUACGAAUACCGAAGAAUGUUAUCACGGGAGACACACGGCGGGUGCUAACGUCCGUCGUGAAGAGGGAAACAACCCAGACCGCCAGCUAAGGUCCCAAAGUCAUGGUUAAGUGGGAAACGAUGUGGGAAGGCCCAGACAGCCAGGAUGUUGGCUUAGAAGCAGCCAUCAUUUAAAGAAAGCGUAAUAGCUCACUGGUCGAGUCGGCCUGCGCGGAAGAUGUAACGGGGCUAAACCAUGCACCGAAGCUGCGGCAGCGACACUAUGUGUUGUUGGGUAGGGGAGCGUUCUGUAAGCCGUUGAAGGUGGCCUGUGAGGGUUGCUGGAGGUAUCAGAAGUGCGAAUGCUGACAUAAGUAACGAUAAUGCGGGUGAAAAACCCGCACGCCGGAAGACCAAGGGUUCCUGUCCAACGUUAAUCGGGGCAGGGUGAGUCGACCCCUAAGGCGAGGCCGAAAGGCGUAGUCGAUGGGAAACAGGUUAAUAUUCCUGUACUUGGUGUUACUGCGAAGGGGGGACGGAGAAGGCUAUGUUGGCCGGGCGACGGUUGUCCCGGUUUAAGCAUGUAGGCGGAUGUUCCAGGUAAAUCCGGAACGUCACUAACGCUGAGGUGUGAUGACGAGGCACUACGGUGCUGAAGUGACAAAUGCCCUGCUUCCAGGAAAAGCCUCUAAGCAUCAGGUAACAUCAAAUCGUACCCCAAACCGACACAGGUGGUCAGGUAGAGAAUACCAAGGCGCUUGAGAGAACUCGGGUGAAGGAACUAGGCAAAAUGGUGCCGUAACUUCGGGAGAAGGCACGCUGAUGGUAAGUGAAGUGACUUGCUCAUGGAGCUGAAAUCAGUCGAAGAUACCAGCUGGCUGCAACUGUUUAUUAAAAACACAGCACUGUGCAAACACGAAAGUGGACGUAUACGGUGUGACGCCUGCCCGGUGCCGGAAGGUUAAUUGAUGGGGUUAUCCUCACGGAGAAGCUCUUGAUCGAAGCCCCGGUAAACGGCGGCCGUAACUAUAACGGUCCUAAGGUAGCGAAAUUCCUUGUCGGGUAAGUUCCGACCUGCACGAAUGGCGUAAUGAUGGCCAGGCUGUCUCCACCCGAGACUCAGUGAAAUUGAACUCGCUGUGAAGAUGCAGUGUACCCGCGGCAAGACGGAAAGACCCCGUGAACCUUUACUAUAGCUUGACACUGAACACUGGUCCUUGAUGUGUAGGAUAGGUGGGAGGCUUUGAAGUGUGGACGCCAGUCUGCAUGGAGCCAUCCUUGAAAUACCACCCUUUAAUGGCUGGUGUUCUAACGUGGGCCCGUGAUCCGGGUUGCGGACAGUGUCUGGUGGGUAGUUUGACUGGGGCGGUCUCCUCCUAAAGAGUAACGGAGGAGCACGAAGGUCAGCUAAUCCUGGUCGGACAUCAGGAGGUUAGUGCAAUGGCAUAAGCUGGCUUGACUGCGAGCGUGACGGCGCGAGCAGGUGCGAAAGCAGGUCAUAGUGAUCCGGUGGUUCUGAAUGGAAGGGCCAUCGCUCAACGGAUAAAAGGUACUCCGGGGAUAACAGGCUGAUACCGCCCAAGAGUUCAUAUCGACGGCGGUGUUUGGCACCUCGAUGUCGGCUCAUCACAUCCUGGGGCUGAAGUAGGUCCCAAGGGUAUGGCUGUUCGCCAUUUAAAGUGGUACGCGAGCUGGGUUUAGAACGUCGUGAGACAGUUCGGUCCCUAUCUGCCGUGGGCGCUGGAGAAUUGAGGGGGGCUGCUCCUAGUACGAGAGGACCGGAGUGGACGCAUCACUGGUGUUCGGGUUGUCAUGCCAAUGGCAUUGCCCGGUAGCUAAAUGCGGAAGAGAUAAGUGCUGAAAGCAUCUAAGCACGAAACUUGCCCCGAGAUGAGUUCUCCCUGACUCCUUGAGAGUCCUGAAGGAACGUUGAAGACGACGACGUUGAUAGGCCGGGUGUGUAAGCGCAGCGAUGCGUUGAGCUAACCGGUACUAAUGAACCGUGAGGCUUAACCUUACAACGCCGAAG